CUCGCGGACCCUGCGCAGGCGCCCGCCGGAGCCGUUGCCCCGAUCGGAGCGCGGGGCGAAGCUCCCCGGGCGGAGGUGGGCCGUCCCACGGGGGUGCCGUGCCCGCACCCACCGCCUGCCUCGGGAAGGGGCGGCUGCAGAGCGCCUCCCGGCGCCGGCGCGCGGCCCCGCGGGCAGUUGGUCACGGCAGGAGCUUGUCCUGGGGGGCGAACAGCUGUCCGGGUGCGCACUGAGGAGCCCGGCACCGGUCUCAGUCCCUGCUGUGUCAGUGCGCUUUAAGGGUUUUGUGCCUUUCGCGAGUUGUUGUUUGUUUUUGUUUUUUUUUGGUUUUUUUUUUGGUUUUUUUUUGGUUUUUUUGGGUUUUUUUUGUAUUUUUGUUUUUUUUUUUUUCCCAGUCACAGCUAUCACCCUUAGAGCACACGCUGUACGAAAUCAACCGACUCCAUACCACAGCGGUGAUCGGUGUCCUGUCGGGAUGGGACGCAGCUCUGUCAGCCUGCUCGCGAAUGGGUACGCGUCACAGCCAACACGCCUCCCUUGGCCUGGGAGGUUCGGAACACUUGGUUUCACCUUGAGAACCAUCGGGCUUUACCGGCUAUAAGUACCCUUCUGGACGCAAUAAUAAAAGGAAGAGCUUUACAGAGGACACAGCACGCAGUCAAGGAGACCGGCAUUGCCAAGCCACCCAGCUCCACACCCUCCUUGUAACAGAGCACAUACUGUAGCAAAGCACAAGUCUUUCCACACACGGAGCCGACCAAACAAUCAACAAAGCACACACUGGGAUGCUGUUUAGUUGCUGGAUCUACUGUCCCUUUACGCUGAGAAAUCCCACCUUUCAUCCAUAGCAGGAGCAGAUCUUCAGUGAACCCCUGGCAGCAACACAGGACCCGUUGAGCCCAGCAAGAGACGUUUCAUAUCUCUACCUGUGGCAAAGCAACAAAUGUUUCCUUCAGCCCUAUGCCACUUUGUACAAGAGUUACAUUAUUUUUGCAGGGAUGCAGGACCUGAUUUGAGGACCGCCAGUCUGAUGUUUCACGUUUACAUUCUCAAGCAUAAAUACCAGGUAAAUGAAGGUUAUGUCCAUGAAGAACAGCAGACUGUAUGCCCGCUGGCAAGAACUGUCGGGCCUUGAGCAGUUACUCCAGGUUUGGCUUCUCUCUUGCCAUAACAGCCUCAGCACCACACAGUGUGAGCUGGAAAAUAGUUGUUUACCACAAUAGCAGAAUGAAAAGGAUCCGUACGGUUAGGAUUUUCUCCAAACCACAAUUAAGCUUAUUAAAUAUGUAUAUAUCCAGUGAGCAAAAUCAUACAUUAUUUAUUUCUUCCUGUAUUAGUUGUUCAGCUCCAGCUUUUGGGGAGUGCUUUCUGUGCUCUAGGUUUCAGUAUCCCUACAGCCUUUGAUUUAGUGCCCUCUCCUGUUUGAUUGUGUGAGUGCAUGUUACCCUAUGGUUAAUUACUCUCAUUUAGCCCUCAGCGGAGAAUUGCAUUUCCAGAAACUACUGAAGAACUAAAGUAGCCUGACACAAGAAGAAGGAAGCCAGGAGAAAAGCAGUUUACAAGAAGGUCAUCUAGGAAAUCUCCGCAGACCUCUAGAACUGAGCAAAAAUAGUGUUUUGUCACAUCAUCAAAGCUUGAUGCUCAGGCACAAGAAGUCCCAGUUAAGAGGACCCCUGACAUGAAGCGUAUGCAUGAGUUAUUCUGAGACUACUACAUGUUUUUGAAAACUGGGAGAUGAUAAGCUUUGGAAAGCACACCACAGGUUGGGCUUCUGUUCUUCAUGCAUCACUUACCAUGGGCUAAUAUACCCCUUGUUGUCUGUUUGCCAUAUAUAUACCAGAGAAUCUCCAGAGGUGAAGGGGCAGUCAGCAAAUCCUACAGUGUUAGAAACCCUACAGCCAGGCACAGAAAUUAUAGCUUUUUUCUCACUGAGAAUUCGUGAAAAUUGCCAAAUAAGAAAUAGUACAAUUAAGAGUAUGCAUCCAUCAUAGAAUGUUUAAUCUACCAGAUAACUACAGACAGGCAUCCAACAAAUAGCAACCUAAGACUUUUAUUCUGGUAGCUCUGUCUACAAAAAUUCCUUUUAAUCACAGAGGCUUUAUCCUUUAAGUAGAGGGCUAUGGAAGGGCUUUGUGGUG